GCGGGCGCGCCGACGUCGGAGAGUCGGGGCCGGCUGUAACCCGGUCGCAUGCGCUGAGCAGGUUCGAAUCCUGUCGCCCGCA
rnacentral:tRNA from 1 species